CCAUUGUACCAAAUAUGGCACUCAUAUAUGGAGUUAUUACAGCACCAGAUUUUAGUGUUAUUAAAACACUCAUUUUGGAGUUGUAACAGCAUGAAAAUGUGCUGUACUUGCACUUUCUUGGAGUUACUGCAACUCCAAACUGUGUGUAACUUUUACAACUACACCUACAAUGGUGUUAUUAAAGCACUGGGGAUGGGUGCUGCUGUUACUACAGGAUGAAUUCAAGGGCAACAGAAGAAUCUGUUCUCAAGUAUCAAGUAUUUGUAACUGUUUAUGCAUUACAUACGUGGAGCAGCAGCUUGACAAAUAUCAUUUGUACUGCAUCCUUCUUCUUACAGUAUUAUCUUCAGAACUGAAUAAAAAAAAUGUAUGUUUGAAGA